UAAGAGAGAAGAGGGAACCUGGAAGUAUUCCCAAAUUUAACAUCUGCAAGCAGAGAGGAUGACGAAAUGCAUUAGUACUGAGGAAUAACUUUCUCCCAUCUUCUCAGAAAACAUCUGGGGUAUUACCCUCCCCUCUUCUCAUUCCCUCACCUCCCACCCCAAAGCUGACUCUUGGCUGACAGUUUAUCAGAGAUAAAUGGAAACACCUGGGAACCAGAUAAGGCCAACUCAACGUGAUCAGCUGAGGAGACCUUGGGAAGUCAUGCUACUCAAUAUUUCUCUUUCCACACCAGGCGGGGCUAGGAGUACCAUCUAGCCUGUGACGGAUGGCAAGGCUCACUUUCACAUCCACUCUUUUCUUCAUUCAUUCCAAACAACCUCAAGAGGUCAGCUGGCCCAGGUUCCUGCCUGAGGAUCUUAGGUCCCCAACCAGGAAUUGAACCCGAACCCCCUCCACUGGAAGUGCAUAACCUUCAUCACUGGACCACUAAGGAAGAGCGACUUUCUAAGUGCCACCUAUGGAGAAUUUGGAGGAAUGGAGUCUUUCCUAAAAAAAUUUUCAAAAAUGAGACAGAAGGAGAAGGAAUAGAAGAAAAUAGGAUAGAACAAAGGAAGAGGUAAGAAAGAAAGAUGGUUAAACGUGUUACUAAGUUUAAUAAUGACUCACCCCUGAAAUGUCCAUUCAUCAGCUGCAUUAAGAAAGCCACAGAGCCCAAAAGAUGAAUGGGAGCUGUAAGAAAGCAAGCCAGUCACAGAUGACUUUCUUCAAUCUGUUGACAUUUGAUUAACAUUUGAACUAAGUAACGAGAAAAGGUUGAUCUUGUUCCAAAGUGAAGUUGGACAUCAUGGUGCUCCAUUGCCUGAAGGAACUUGUCACCAAACAACUCCUGUCCCAUCAUCUUUUUUUCUAACUUUUACCCUUUAUUGCUUUUUAUGUGUUUAGAAACUGAAGCACUUUGUACUAAAAUGCUGUUUAAUCAUUUGUAAAAAGAAAAGAAAGCAAAUUCUCCCAAAGCACAAUGCCUUCUGCUGUCCUGGGAAAGAGUGCCUUUAAUUGGAACCAAAAGUCUAGCAUUGUUUGUAUGUUGAAAAUG
rnacentral:lncRNA from 1 species